CCUACGGGUGGCUGCAGUGAGGAAUAUUGGUCAAUGGACGAGAGUCUGAACCAGCCAAGUAGCGUGAAGGAUGACUGCCCUAUGGGUUGUAAACUUCUUUUAUAUGGGAAUAAAACGUUCCACGUGUGGGAUUUUGUAUGUACCAUAUGAAUAAGGAUCGGCUAACUCCGUGCCAGCAGCCGCGGUAAUACGGAGGAUCCGAGCGUUAUCCGGAUUUAUUGGGUUUAAAGGGAGCGUAGGUGGAUUGUUAAGUCAGUUGUGAAAGUUUGCGGCUCAACCGUAAAAUUGCAGUUGAAACUGGCAGUCUUGAGUACAGUAGAGGUGGGCGGAAUUCGUGGUGUAGCGGUGAAAUGCUUAGAUAUCACGAAGAACCCCGAUUGCGAAGGCAGUUCACUGGACUGUAACUGACACUGAGGCUCGAAAGUGUGGGUAUCAAACAGGAUUAGAUACCCGGGUAGUC
rnacentral:rRNA from 1 species